GACGAACGCUGGCGGCGUGCUUAACACAUGCAAGUCGAACGAUGAAGCCGGAGCUUGCUCUGGUGAAUUAGUGGCGAACGGGUGAGUAACACGUGAGUAACCUGCCCUUGACUCUGGGAUAACUGCGGGAAACUGUAGCUAAUACCGGAUACGACCCUCGGAGGCAUCUCCUGGGGGUGGAAAGAAUUUCGGUCAAGGAUGGACUCGCGGCCUAUCAGCUAGUUGGUGAGGUAAAGGAUCACAAAGGCGAAGACGGGUAGCCGGCCUGAGAGGGUGACCGGCCACACUGGGACUGAGACACGGCCCAGACUCCUACGGGAGGCAGCAGUGGGGAAUAUUGCACAAUGGGCGCAAGCCUGAUGCAGCAACGCCGCGUGAGGGAUGACGGCCUUCGGGUUGUAAACCUCUUUUAGCAGGGAAGAAGCGAAAGUGACGGUACCUGCAGAAAAAGCACCGGCUAACUACGUGCCAGCAGCCGCCGCAG
rnacentral:rRNA from 1 species